rnacentral:rRNA from 1 species
GGGUGAGUAACGCGUAAGUAAUCUACCCUGAUAUCUGGGAUAACCCACCGAAAGGUGUGCUAAUACCGGAUACGCUGAUUUAUCAGGAAAGGUGGCCUCUUCAUGAAAGCUACUGUAUCAGGAGGAGCUUGCGUACCAUUAGCUAGUUGGUAGGGUAAUGGCCUACCAAGGCAACGAUGGUUAGCGGGUCUGAGAGGAUGAUCCGCCACACUGGAACUGAAACACGGACCAGACUCC